AAUAAGAUUCAAGGCAGACAGACUCACCAUAAAGGAGCACACUAACCAAAGUUCUUUGAGCUGACAGUCUCUGAAGUCCUGCUGUGACUGAACUGCCCUGAAAGCCUACCACACCGUUUAGAUUGCUUCCUAAGCAGACCUUGAAAUCACUGCUGGUCAUGAAAUGUGGAUGUGCUUGUGUUUGAUAAGCACGAAAUGCACCUUGCAGUCCCUGAAUACUUCUCAGCUGUUCAACUGUGGCAGCAUGCAGUAAGACCCUGCACACCCUGCUCAGCAGAACAGAUCCCCACUAUGUGACCAGCAGCACCACUGGUGCAGGCGAAGCAAUGAGGUGGAGAUAUCUGAAAAAGCUUCUGUCAGGCGAUGCCAGCUCACUGUGUUCUUUAUUUAUAUAUGAAGCUUAAAUUAUUGAUUGUUGCUCCUUCCUGCACUGAAAGCUGAAAUCAAAUCCAGUCCCUGACUGACCACUCAAAUCUUCCAAUCAACCCGCCUUCUCUAAACAUUGUUUUCUGUACUUCGGAGCUUUGUUUACAAAAAUUUACAACAACAUUUUCUGUUUCAGUGGGGGUGAAAAAAAGAUCAAUGCUUAUCAGUGUUCUGCUAUUUACUGAUCAAAUCCAUGUUACAUCAUGCUAAUCCCUACCAUAUGGGCAGAGACUGAAAACCCAGAAUUCCUCAAAGUUCUUGGCAUAGUAAUGCUAAGUAGUUUGUGUUGCUUGUGAUUAUUCACGUGUAUGACAGGCAACAUAUGUGCUUUCCUAGGCAUUCCAUUAGAACUGCUUUUCCCCCAACCUUUCAAAAGCUAAAUGAACAACAGAAAUGUUGGUAAAUGUGAUCUGUAGCAUAAGCUGUUUUAUAAAAUAUGCUGCCUCUUAUUGGCUGACGCAGUGAAGGUUUCAUCCCAUCUUCGGUUUCAGGCAUUGGAACCACUCAGCUACUCCGACUGAACUCAAGUUAUAAGGCAUUGGUCACAACAGAGAGAAACUGAUGGGCUGAAGUUUUAAUACUAGCUUUAUGACUGCCUGGUGGUCUGAGAAGAGCCCACACCCUUCCCAGUGGUUGUGGCUGAGCCUGUUCAGGUGACCAGAAAGAACAAGCUGUACCCUUUUCCUCCAAGUCUGACAGAAGGGACAUUGACAGGGCAGUACAGGAUUUGCUUCUCUGACCACUAAUCCAGUGUGAGCCCACGUUUCACAGUACACUGAACAGAGUAGAGUUAUGGCAUCCUUUACAACCUGAAGUUGCAGCAAGCAACACAUUCUUGUUCAGAGAGCAAUACAAGCAAGAAUAUUGAACACAAAGCAAGGAUGAAGGCUUCAGUGAGCUGUCUGAUGCGUAAAAACAACAUAUGCAAAUAGCCAUGAAGUAUAGCAGACAAGCAGCUACAAAACUGAAGCAGAGAAAACUGCUCUGCUUGCACUAAUGUAAGUAACUGCUUCUACAGGUUUCAAGUAAAAGCCAUCAUCCAUCUGUAGUGGGCACGUUGCCCACCAGCAGCAUUAACUGCUCUCACACUCCCCUAACCGCUCUAUACUGUGAGGGAACAAAACUGAACAAAGAGCCUUCUAUAUAAAUCCUUAAAUCUUAACAAGGCAAAUAUUUUAAAAAGGUCUCAAAGUCUUCAAAAAUGGAAGUCCAAAUGUAAACAGAGGAGUUACACAUUUGAAGCCCAUCAGUGUUCAUUAGUCGCUUACAACAAAAAACACUUCUGCCAUUUGACAUAAUUAUCACUUUCUUUUAAGGCUUUGUUCACCAGGCAUCUAUACCCUGCAACAAAUAUGCUUGCCUACUCCGAAGUACUUCACUCAUACAUAAGAUAGUGCUCUCUCGUGUAAAUGGAUUGUAGGAUUAGCAGCAGGCGUAGUCACUUACAGCCUGUAACAGGCUUUAUCUUCAACCACUGAUGGAUGUUCCUGGAGAUGCUCAAGGCCCGGUUGGAUGGUGCCCUGGAGUAACCUGAUCUAGUGCCUGACCUAGUGGUUGGCAACCCUGUCCCAGCAGGGUGUUGGAAUUAGGUGAUCUCUGAGGUCCCUUCCAACCCAAGCCAUUGUGUGAUUCUAUGAUUACAGAACAGAAACCAAGAAAGCACACUCAUGAAGGCUGCAUACAAGAUUGUACUGGCACAGAAACUGUGAUUCCUCCCAUGCCAUCCAUAACUUGAGUAAGGCUAGAAGCUUGUGGAGCACGUGGCACACACAGUUUUCCUUCCUGGAUCUGCAACCAAUAAUAUAACUCUCGCAAGUCCUGUAAAAUAUAUAACCUAGAAGUGGGUUGUUUUUUUUCAGUGUGGAAAUUCUUUUUUCUUCUUGUAAACAUUUUCCUUCAAAAAUCACAACCACCUCAAGGAGCUUCCUAAUAGUAAUCACAGCUUCGAGCUGCUACAUUUCACUCCUUUAACCUCCCUCUUCGCAGCACCUCCCUCUUCCAUAUCAUGCAUCAUCAAAUUUACAGAACAGAAACCACUUAAGGCAUCAAAACUAUCGCGGAAGGUGAACAGGAGCUGAAACUCAAGUUCCAUGCUCUGCUGGCCUUCUGGGAUUCCUGACAUGCCCCGGUCUGCAUUUCACGGUACCAAGGCACUGCAAUUAAAAAGUUACACGGCACAAUGAACAGAGGAAGCAACAGAAAGGGGACAAAAGGGCUGCACUCUCUUCCUAUUGUUCAUGUUUACCUAUACAAAUUUUUGGAUAAGUUUUCUGGGUCUAACAGCAAUCACAGCCAUCUAGACAGCACCCAAUGCAUGAAUUACGUGUUGGUGUCAGCUUAGAAGGCACCAAGCUUGCUGGCUUCUGAAGGCCACUUUACAGCUCGCAUAUAUAUCUGACAUUAGGGAAAGAGAGACUGCAUCGUCUCAGAUACAUGACAACCUCUGUGUGUGCAGCUGCUUUCUGGAUUGACUUCCAUGAUAAGAUUGUCACUUUUGGACAAAACUUAUGGGAACCCGAAUUGUCAUUUCUCUAAUUCAUUCUUUCCCAGUCACUACUUCCAGUCUGCUUUGGAGAUCGAGACACACCUAUUGAUUUCAUAAAGGCAGAAGCAUGUGUGAAGUGCCUGGCUGAACUGGGUCCAUGGUACCCCACUAUUUUGGGCUUUUCCAUUUCAGUAAAAAGAAAAAUAAAAUAAAAGCUGAUG
ensembl:lncRNA